GGGGUUGUGGCUCAGUGGUAGAGUGCUUACCUAGUAUGUGAAAGGCCCUGGGUUCAAUCCUCAGCACCA
rnacentral:tRNA from 1 species